GGCCUAACACAUGCAAGUCGAACGCUCCAGCAAUGGAGAGUGGCAGACGGGUGAGUAACGCGUGGGAACCUUCCCAAUGGUACGGAAUAGCUCAGGGAAACUUGAGGUAAUACCGUAUAAGCCCCUAGGGGGAAAGAUUUAUCGCCAUUGGAUGGGCCCGCGUCGGAUUAGCUAGUUGGUGAGGUAAUGGCUCACCAAGGCGACGAUCCGUAGCUGGUUUGAGAGAAUGACCAGCCACACUGGGACUGAGACACGGCCCAGACUCCUACGGGAGGCAGCAGUGGGGAAUAUUGGACAAUGGGCGCAAGCCUGAUCCAGCCAUGCCGCGUGAGUGACGAAGGCCUUAGGGUUGUAAAGCUC
rnacentral:rRNA from 1 species